UACGUAGGUGACGAGCGUUAUCCGGAAUUAUUGGGCGUAAAGCGCACGCAGGUGGCUGUUCAAGUCUGGCGUGAAAUCUCUUGGCUUAACCAAGAGCGGUCGCUGGAAACUGAAUAGCUUGAGGCAAUGAGAGGGGUGCGGAAUUCCCGGUGUAGUGGUGGAAUGCGUAGAUAUCGGGGGGAACACCAGUGGCGAAAGCGGCACCCUGGCAUUGGCCUGACACUCAUGUGCGAAAGCGUGGGGAGCGAACGGG
rnacentral:rRNA from 1 species